rnacentral:misc_RNA from 1 species
AAGCUCUUUGUUUUUUGAAAUGAUGCUUUUAUGAGAUAGAGCUUUUUUAGAUAAUGCUUUUUUAGAUAAUGCUGGGGAAGGUUUUCCGGUUUAUCUCGGAGGGCUUGUAACUCAUUUGGUUAGAGCGCGCGCUUGAUAAGCGUGAGGUCGGAGGUUCAAGUCCUCCCAGGCCCACCAAUUUACCUAUCCAUUUGCCUUUAUCCGUUUAUUUGCCGAUUUAUCGGUCUAUUGAAUUUAAGUGUUGGUAGCAGUUUUUAUAAUGAUGAAAAAUCAUGCUUAUAAAAGAACUCCUUAUAAAAGGCUUGUUUUUAAAAUGUGACGCUUAUCCAUUUCGCUUAGGCAAGAGAAACUUCAAGCGGUUCAAAUGCAAAAGGCUUUAAAUUUUGCAAAACACUUUGAAUUUUAAAGUGAUCCAAGUUCGUGAUCUCGAAUUUAAAAGUUUCGAAUGCUUUAUCCUUUUUUGGGGGCCGU